rnacentral:tRNA from 1 species
GCAUCGGUGGUUCAGUGGUAGAAUGCUCGCCUGCCACGCGGGCGCCCGGAUGAUUCCGCCGAUGCA